GGAGUUGUGGUUCAGUGGUAGAGCACUUGCCCUGUAUGUAUGAGGCCCUGAGUUUGAUCCUCAGCACUGCA
rnacentral:tRNA from 1 species